AACGAACGCUGGCGGCGUGCCUAACACAUGCAAGUCGUGCGAGAAAGUUCCUUCGGGAGCGAGUAAAGCGGCGCACGGGUGAGUAACACGUAGGUAACCUGCCCCCCAGUCUGGAACAACUAGAGGAAACUCUAGCUAAUGCCGGAUGAGACCACGAUCCCUUCGGGGGUUGCGGCCAAAGAUGGCCUCUACUUGUAAGCUAUCGCUGAGGGAUGGGCCUGCGGGCCAUUAGCUUGUUGGUGAGGUAACGGCUCACCAAGGCUGUGAUGGCUAGCUGGUCUGAGAGGAUGACCAGCCACACUGGGACUGAGACACGGCCCAGACUCCUACGGGAGGCAGCAGUGGGAAUAUUGCGCAAUGGGCGAAAGCCUGACGCAGCGACGCCGCGUGGGUGAUGAAGGCCUCGGUCGGUAAGACCCGUCGUCG
rnacentral:rRNA from 1 species